rnacentral:rRNA from 1 species
CAUGUAGGCGGCAUGACAAGUCUGGUGUGAAAUAUCUCGGCUCAACCGAGAAAACGCACUGGAAACUGUCAAGCUUGAGUAUCGGUGGGGAAGCUAGAAUUCCUGGUGUAGGGGUGAAAUCUGUAGAUAUCAGGAAGAAUACCGGUGGCGAAGGCGAGCUUCUGGCCAGAUACUGACGCUGAGAUGCGAAAGCGUGGGGAGCGAACAGGAUUAGAUACCCUGGUAGUCC